UUUACAUUAUUAUGUAUACAGAAAAAAUAAAACGUUGAUAUAAUACGAGGAGGUAGGCCAUCCAGUGAUAAAACCCAACGUGAUUUUUUCCUAAUUAUUUUUAAUUAGAUGAAAUUAAUCAUUGUUAGAUAAAUAGAUCUCGACACCAACAUCUUUGGAGUCGGCGAGUGCGAUUUCUGCAAGCUGUGAUAUUAAAGGGUUUGAGUGAGUUUGUAAUUUGGAAUGGAAUUUUUGGUAGUAUUUGAGGCUAAUUGGUUUAAUGAUUCUAUUUUAAAGUCGUAUUGAAGUGUAUAAUUGGAUACAUACAAUGGGACGGAAGAGAUUAUAAGUAGAGUGUUGGAUUUGAUGGCUUGUGAGGUACGAAGUUGUGAUAGUUUUGCACAUCCCCAAAUUUGGAUUGCAUAGGUCCAAAUAGGGAUUUGUAUAUUAUGAUCUUAGCAUGGAAAGCAAGGAUUUUUGAUUUAAGGAUUGGGCCUAGUAAAUGGAGUCUGCUGUUAGGACUUUUCUUUUAGAUUUUAUGUGAAGGCCUAAAGUUAUCGAAGAUAUCGGGAUAGGUAAUCCUUGCAAUUGGGGAGGGGAUCGAUCGGAUUUUUCAGCGUGAAAGGGCCGUAUACUGAUUUUUCAGGAUUAAUGUUAACUCUACAUUCGGAUGACCAGUCAACAAUUAGAUUUAAGUGUGUUUAAAGAAUAUUGGAAGUUACUUCAGUGGCAUUUCCUGGGGAAAGUAUUACAGUUUCAUCUGCAUAAGAGGCCAUAAACUUGAAAGGUGCAAAAGAUAUCAUCGAAGAAGUAGCAGAGCCAAUCAACAUACAGAUGGAACCUCCCAGUCUUGAAGAACUGUAAACGAUAGGAUCAAGUAUUAAACAAUAGACAAAUAUCCAAUAAACUUAUUAAACUAUAAAUUUACAUUGUGGUCAGAUAUUGGUGGAUUACGAGCUGUAUUUUACAAAAGUAGCAAAGUCCAAAGAGUUUUCCGGUAGUGAUGUAUUGCAAAGGAAUAGUAAACAAUAGGAACAGUUUUCUUAGGAAAAUACUAUAGCUAUUGAGGAAUAUAAUACAGUGUAUAAUAUGUACCUACAAGUGUCUCGCAUCGGAUGGACCACUCCGUAUGAGGAUUUCUGGUUGCCAAAACGGUAGGCAACGGUGAUCGCCUCGUCCAGGUGUGUUUGCAGCUUUGCUCCCGAGUGGCGUUCUACUUGCGACUGGUCCAGGUGCUCUUCGACCCUGACCAGCUGCCCUUUUUGGGGGGGGGGCGAUAAUACAGAACGGGGAGGGCGCACGUGGUGGAUCCACGGAAGUAGGUGUCGACUACGCGACCGGGUCGUACACAAUGGUAUGCACACAAACGUGUGCUCGUCAAACAACGACGAUAUGUGCCCGUGUACAGGUAUUUAUGGUACAAUUUAUGUGUACAUUAGUAUUUUCAUUUUUGUCUAUUAUAUUAUGGCCGCGCUUAUGCGGUGUUCGGCUUCCGGAACACAUGUCGGCACGCGACCGACAAACCGGUUGCACGCGUCCGGCACAUGUCAUUAUUAUUACUAUUGCACAGGCCCGUCGCCUUGUGUUUGCCACCGACGAAAAGAUGACACGAAAACUGUCCUUGGAGCAGCUGCACCGCAAAAGGGUUACGCCAGGUCGGCGAAUUUCGAAACGAUUACCCGUCGUCUCAUCAGCGUGUAGUGUUUGAAAAUUUCAUGAAAUAUACAAUUUCCGGACAUUUCGAAAACGGUGAAAUAUUUCAAUUUUUGUUUUUUUUUCGUUUUUUCGUUUUUUGUCUGGUAAAAUAAUUAAAUAAAACAAAUUAAAUAUUUCACCGUUAUACGAUUUUUUGUCAAUUCACAGUAUUUCGUUUUAUUUAGCAAUAUUGAAAAUAUUCAUUUUCUUUAUUCCGAAACACCUUAUGAAUUUGAACUCUGUGUUCACCCAUUAUACAUUUUAAUAUGAAGAUAAAAAUUAACACAUUAAUUACACUUAAUUGAACGUAAAAAUUAAAUAACUUCAAUGCGCGAUAGCGAUAGCGCGUUGAAAAAUGAUAAUACUGUUAUCUAAUUAUCCGGAUGCUUAUAUAUGUAAGGCAGUAGGGCCAAAAAGUGAAAUAAUUAAUAAAAAACCAAUAUUUCACAUUUAUAAUAAUAUUGUUGGUUAUUUAAGUGGUACAGUUUGAUUUUGUUUGUAAUUAACUUGGUAAAAAAUUUAACCUAAUGAUUUAAAGCUCUAAAUCUGCAGAUAUAAUUACAAUAAUUUAUAUGGACUACUGUUCCUUUUCGGUAGUUUUUCUUGUAGUUAUUUUACUGAAAUAUCGCUAUUUUCAAUUAACCCAAUUGUCCAGCUAUCCUAACAGGGUGCUCGUGAAUAGGUUUUUAAAAUAUUUAACGCCUUAUGGUGAAAAUGUAAACCAUGUCACGAUGAAAACCAAUAUUAAGAGUUUCUACAGAAAUGUUUGGAAAUAAAAAAGAUAAUCAAUGAAAUUAUGAAAUUCAAAAAGGUUUUUUAUACAUAAUUUAUGCUUUUAAACAUAAUCACAAGAGAUUAAAAUAUGAAUAUUGUAUUUAUGUAACGUAUUCUUAUAAUUUGUGUGACUUUUAUUCAAUAUUUAAUCUCAAAUUUGAUAAAACAAAUAACAAAACAAAAACGCAUACCUAUUGAAGAAAUAUCUCAUUGACAAAUAACGUUUGAUAAAAACAUCCAAAAGUAAUAUAUCAUUUAAUAUAUCAUUAUUAUUAUUGUGUAAAGGCCCACCCUGUCCGUCUGCGGGGCCGAUCGUAGUCCGGAUAACGUCCCAAACCAUUUAAAACCAAAAUAUAUUUUUUUAUCCUAGUCAACCGUCGAAAUGCAUAAUAUUAUAAUAUCGGUGAAAUACGACCGAAUGAUGGUGUUUAAAAGAAAUGUCCCAAUCUCAGCGGGCACCGUGACAAAUUGGCACGCACCGGUAGUUUUUCUUCUAUAGGUGGUCCGCGGUCGGGUAUUAUAAUAUGUCCUCUUGUACGAUCAGACCGCGGUUAUUUGAGUAUAAUAAUAUACAAAAUAUGUAUUUUUUUGUUAAUAAUUUCAUUAAUAUUCUCAGAUACGAGGUAUGCACACACACACACACACAUAAUAUCAUCUACACUCGAUCCGGGACUUUUGGCCGGCUAGUUAUGAAAUUAAAUUAGUUUACAACAGUGACGUCGUGUAAGAUGAUAAUAAUGUAAAUGUAUUCACAAGCCCCGGAGAAGGAUAUGAGAAGCUCCCGUUGUGCAUGACAAAUCGAUUAUCCAUCAUAGCUAGAAAGCUGAGAAAAUUUCACGUGUGUAAAUUUCAAACUAGGAUCUCCAUAAAAACAAAAUAAAUGAAAUCUCAUAGAAAAGUCGAGUACAACUUUUGGAAGUCGAGAUUUAACAUUUCAUUAGAUACUUAAAAAAAAUAGAAAUUUAAUUUAAAAAAAAGCAACGUAAUGAAACUUUAUAUGUGUACAUUCGGAAAUUUGCAUUACAGUCGUUCAUUGAAAAUAUUAUGAAAAAGGGUUAGUCUUUCACUUGAAGGAGAGACAUUGGAUCAUUAAUAUGUCUUAUAAUACGUCUUGGAGGCUGGAACGCAAAAAUGACUCAAGUCAAAAAACCUAUUAACGUCUAAUAAUGUACCUUUCAGGUACGAUUACUGAUCUAUUGAGUUGGUACACGAAGAAAUUGGUUAAGCGACUUGGAAGGUAUCGUGGGUCCACACAAAAAUAAAUUAUAAAAAGACAUCUAUGAUCAAAUAAACUUGUAAAUCUAAAGCAUAAAUA